rnacentral:lncRNA from 1 species
GCAAUUUCCAUCCAGAAAAUGACAUGAUUCUUGCAAAUACCACCUCCAUUGGCAUGCAACCAAAGGUUGAUGAUACACCAAUCUCUAAGGUUUGCCUCCUUGCAUUAGUUUUCUUAGAUUAAACAACUUGUUACUGAAUCCGUGUCUUAUUAGUUGAAGAGCUGCAUGGUUAAUAUCAUGCACAGUAAAUGGGUAAACAAAGAGGGUUCAGUAUUAAAAAUACAAGCUUUAUAAAUUAGAAUGGGACGGAGUAUUUUAAUUUCAUUUUGUUUGGGGGGGUCGGUGAGAUCCCUUUUUUUCUUGGAAACUUUUUACCUCAAUUAGCUCAUACCCAGCAUUCGUGAAUUGCUUCUCUGUAUUUUUCUGUUUUCUCAGAGGGCUCAAUAUUGGAAAUACAUGCUUUACCAAUUUGAAUGGGAGCGGAGCUUUUGUUUUUUCUUUUGCUUGGAAAAACAUUUUUCCGUCUAUUACCUUCAUAUCCAGCAUUCAACAAUUACUUCUCUACAUUACACUGUUUUAAUAUAGGAUAAAGAUCUAACCAUAAACCUGAAGUAUCUUUGUAACGAAUUCUAUGUUCGGUAACUAUAUUUAUUGCUCAUCUCUUUCUCACAAAAGUAGCAAAAGAUAUAUGGGUUGUUCUUUGGUUUUGAUCAUAAAGAAAUUAUGAAGUUUGGGGAAAGUGUAUAUAUGUUCCGGACCAUAAUGUGUAUGUAAUCCUAAUUCCUAUAUAGAUAGAUAUCAACCUUCUUUAAGUUAAAGAACCCAAUUGUAGGGCCUUUCAUAACCUUACAAACCUGUCUAGUCAACAGAUGACGUCUCUAAAUAUAUACCUUUAUUGGCCUUAUGGAAAAGGGUCAAAACUACCUCUAUCAUUUGUAAAUGGUUUAAAAUUACCCUCCGUCCGCCUUUUGGUCCAUAAACACACAUAACGUUAUCUUUGGGCUUAAAUUUACCCCUCCCGCUAAUGGCACAAUAUCGAAAACACAGCCAACGCAUUAAAAAUGGAGCCCACAUAUUUUGCCGUUAGUGGGAGGGUAAAUUUAAGCCCAAAGAUAACAUUGUGUGUGUUUAUGGACCAAAAGGUGGACGGAAGGUAAUUUUAAACCGUUUACCAAAUGAUAGGGGUAGUUUUGACCAUAUUCUGUUGUCCUUAUGAAAAAUUAUAUACCUUGUUGUCAUGGCUCACAAUCUCAAACUUCCUCCUCUAUUCUUUGGUGCUUCGAGGAAUGGCAUGCCAUGAGUGGUUUAAACGGAAGUUCUAGGCUAUGUAAGGAGUAUUUUGGUGAUUUGUUCCAUUGGAAGAAUAACGGGAUAAAACAGAUAAGACCUGUUCUGUCAGAAAAGGAAGUGGUUGUAAGAAACCACUUCAAGAUCAUGGUCUGCUGCUUUCAAUCUGAACUUUACUCGGUGUUAAGUGCUUCUAAUGCUGCUACUGUUGAGAUAGGGUGUUGUUGACGGGUUUGAUAUAAGAUGUGGGCUGAUAACUGGCAUUUCAGAUGCAGCAAAUAAUUUUAUGCUUUAUUUCUACAAGGCAGACAAAAUGCAUGCUUAAGUUUGACAUUUCUGUGGGUCAGAAAGAACUAACUUCGGUCCUGAGGAAGCUGGAUGCACUAUUUUCAGCAGAAUAGCCCAUGAAAUGGAUAGAACAUAUAGCGGGGGCAGAGCAUUUGUGGCUAAAAGAAUAAAUCUCCAUGUUGCUAGGUCUUUGCAGCCAAUAACAUAAAGACUAGUAUGCUGUUAGGCUGUUAGCCAAUCUUCUUAACCAAUACAUGCACGCACACAAACACGCAUUGUCGUCCAAUCUUGAUUCACAAGAAACUCUUGUCCAACUCCUUACAUCUUCUACUUGUGGAUAGUAAAACGUAACUCUGGGCAUGAAAUUAGCUGCCCGCUAGCCACUCAGGUUAUAUAGGUUUUGUAUAUAACUGCAAUUUAUGAUUUUGAAAAGUGAAGCGGAUCACAUGAGAAACUAUUAUUGGUGUCUAUUUAAAAAUGAGCAAGAUAUCUUUCUGGAAACUUGAACUUACCAUCGACAGCUAUAAGGAGGAUAAUGUUAAACAGACGUGUACCACAUUCUUGGGCAUCUCAAUGCCAAUUAGCUUCCCAUGAGAUAUUCUUCAAUGCUGUUCUUGGUUUUACUUAAUUUGUCUUCAGCAAUGAACUUCAAAAUGUGCCUUCUCUUUGCUAAUGGAACUUUUCAGCACAUUCUAUACUGGGGUGUCCGAUUUCUUUAUGUGACCUCGUGUAGGUUUAAUGUCAAUUUACAUCACUAUUUCCUGAAACCGGUUCCUGUCAUCUAAGAUUCUUCUUAUUAUUCAAAUAGACGUAUAUUUUUUGCUUCAUGCUCCUACAUGCUAUUUACUGAUAAAACGUUGUUUAAAUUUCUAUGAACUGCUUCCAAAUUACAGGAAGCUUUGAGGUACUACUCACUUGUAUUUGAUGCUGUUUAUACGCCCAAAAUCACUAGACUCUUGCGCGAAGCUCAAGAGAGUGGAGUAAAAAUUGUAACCGGAGUUGAAAUGUUUAUCGGGCAGGCAUAUGAACAAUAUGAGAGAUUUACAGGGUUGCCAGGUAAUUUUUAUGAUAAGUUCAUUCCUCAACUUGUGUGGUCAUGGCAUAACAUUGGCACUGAUUAUCCUUUUCUUGUGGUGAUUCAUGUCUUGAAACUCCAGCUCCAAAGGAACUUUUCAAGAAAAUUAUGGCUGGAUAUUGAGAGCAAGCCCUUUACAACGCAGCCUGCUAAUUACUUUUCCUCUUAAAUUCUACAUAGUUGUGUGAUAGCAAUGGUCUUAGAUUCCUCUGUCCUACCAUAUGUGCUUCGGAAGAAUUAAUUCGUUCCAGGUAAAUCGUGUUUUCCACCAAAACAAAUUCUUGAGGAUGUUCAGAAAAAGCAGUCAGACAUACCAGUGGACAAUCGUCAUCAUUCUGGCUUAUAUUAGACUCUUGUAGCACUUCAUUCUUUGACAACUAUGGUUCUUUGGGAAGUAAUUUCUUUUGUACCUCUAAUUCUGGUUUCAUUGAACACAUAUUCCAGUGUUUCAUCAUUGUAACCCCAUACUGGGAAUUCCUCUUGAUUAUCAUUAUUAUUAAAUCUUGUCACAUUAUUGUAUCACACCAAAACAGUUUUUUUACUUGAGUUCAUUGUCUUGGGAAUACAACAUUG